rnacentral:lncRNA from 1 species
UUUCUUUUUUUUGUUGUUUUUUUUUGUUUGUUUGUUUUUUUUUUUGUUUUUUUGAGACAGGGUUUCUCUGUAGCCCUGGCUGUCCUGGAACUCACUCUGUAGACCAGGCUGGCCUCAAACUCAGAAAUCCGCCUGCCUCUGCCUCCCGAGUGCUAGGAUUAAAGGUGUGCGCCACCAUGCCUAGCUCUUGAUUUUCUUUUUUAGGGGAUUAGUUACAUGAUUGGAUGAAUCUCAGAAGAGACUUUGAACUUUGAACUUUUAACAUUUUUGAGACUGGUAUAGAUGAUGGGGACUUUUAAAGUUGGACCUCAUGUAGUUUUCAUUAUGCUAUGUUUAAGUAUGGUCCCCAUAUAUUCCUGUACUCCAACAAGCUUAUAGGGGCCAGGUAGUGGAAUGUGGGAGUUUAAAUAUGUUUGUCACAGGGAGUAGCUCUAUUCAGAAGUGUGACCUUGUUGGAGGAAGUGGAUCAGUCUGGUGGUAGGCUUUGAAGCUCUACUCAGUGCAGAACAGACCCUCCUGGUAGCCCCCUGAAAGACAGUCUCUUCCUGGAUGCCUUUAGAUCAAAAUGCAGAACUCUCAACUCCUUGUCUGCCUGCAUGUUGCCAUGCUUCCUGCUAUGAUGAAAAUAGACUAAACCUCUGAAACUGUAAGCCAGCCCCAGUUAAAGGUUUGCUUUUAUGAGAGUUGCCUUGGCCAUGAUGUCUAUUCCUAGCAAUGGAAAUGCUAAGACAGAAACCCUGUGAGUAUAUGGUGAAGCCUUUGCACAAUUCUGUAGGCUUCAUCAUCAUGAAAGAAUAUGUACUGGAGAUAAACCUUUUGAUUGUAUUCACUAUGGUUAAGCUUCUUACUAUGGUUAAGAAGGAAUGAGUUUGACAGAUAGUUAUCAUUCUGUCUGUUUAGACGGUGAGCAUCACACAGGAGUUUAUGACAAGCUCAUUCUUAGGAACUGUCUACAUCUGUUAAAUCAGAAGUUUUGCUCUCAGCAAUGUAAAAUCUGUAACAUUCAGGAAACAAGCCCAGGUCACUUUCUUGUAUUAGUUCUCACGACUUUGGAUUGUGAAUUACAGUUUCCUGCUCGUUUAAUUCCAAAGGAGUUGUCUAGCUUCUCUUUAAGGAAAACUGAGGUUUAAACAACUAUAUAAAAAAUAGAAAUACGUAUGUAAUGUUAUACAGCAUUGCUCCAUUAAUUUUAUGUGAAACAUAUACAAUGUGAUACAUCAAAAUGUUAAAUGUCUAAAUUUGUUCUCCAAAGCAAAAAUGAAAGGGCCACCAUCUAAGUAAGACUGGUUAUUUGAUCAGAAUAAAAUGAAGAUGAGUCACCUG